GAUGAACGCUGGCGGCGUGCCUAAUACAUGCAAGUCGAGCGAACAGACGAGGAGCUUGCUCCUCUGACGUUAGCGGCGGACGGGUGAGUAACACGUGGAUAACCUACCUAUAAGACUGGGAUAACUUCGGGAAACCGGAGCUAAUACCGGAUAAUAUAUUGAACCGCAUGGUUCAAUAGUGAAAGACGGUUUUGCUGUCACUUAUAGAUGGAUCCGCGCCGCAUUAGCUAGUUGGUAAGGUAACGGCUUACCAAGGCAACGAUGCGUAGCCGACCUGAGAGGGUGAUAGGCCACACUGGAACUGAGACACGCUCCAGACUCCUACGGGAGGCAGCAGUAGGGAAUCUUCCGCAAUGGGCGAAAGCCUGACGGAGCAACGCCGCGUGAGUGAUGAAGGUCUUCGGAUCGUAAAACUCUGUUAUUAGGGAAGAACAAAUGUGUAAGUAACUAUGCACGUCUUGACGGUACCUAAUCAGAAAGCCACGGCUAACUACGUG
rnacentral:rRNA from 1 species